GACAUUUAGCAAUAAAGUGACCGGGCUUACCAUACUUGUAGCAAACCUUCUUGGAACGAGAUUUGUAAUCCUUCCCCCUCCUUUGCUUGAGGAUUUGGCGAAAGCUUUUGAUGACAAGUGUCAUCUCCUCAUUGUCGAGCUUGGAGGCGUCGAUUGGUUGUCUACUUGGUGUAGACUCCUCCUUCUUCUCCUUCGUGGCCUUGAAUGCAACCGGUUGAGCUUCAGACGUGGAGGGGUCGUCAAGCUCGUUGAUCUUCCGUGAGCCCUUAAUCAUAAAAUUCGAAGCUCACAAAAUUCCCGAUUACCUCCUCGGGAGUCAUUAGUGUAUAUCUUGGGUUGCCACGAAUUAAUUGAACUUGAGUAGGGUUAAGGAAAAUAAGAGAUCUUAGAAUAACCUUAACCACCUCGUGAUCAUCCCAUUUCUUGCUCCCGAGGUUGCGCACUUGGUUCACCAAGGUUUUGAGCCGGUUGUACAUAUCUUGUGGCUCCUCCCCUUGGCGAAGACGGAAGCGACCGAGCUCCCCCUCGAUUGUUUCCCGCUUGGUGAUCUUGGUGAGUUCAUCACCCUCGUGUGUGGUCUUGAGUAGAUCCCAAAUCUCCUUUGCAUUCUUCAACCCUUGCACCUUGUUAUGUUCCUCUCUACUUAGAGAGGCGAGGAGUAUGGUUGUGGCUUGGGAGUUGAAGUGCUCGAUUUGGGCUACUUCAUCCUCAUCAUAGUUUUCAUCCCCUACGGAUGGUACCUGUGCACCAAACUCAACAACAUCCCAUAUACUUUUGUGGAGCGAGGUUAGAUGAAAUCGCAUUAAAUCACUCCACCUAGCGUAAUCUUCACCAUCAAAAGUUGGUGGUUUGCCUAAUGGGACGGAAAGUAAAGGUGUAUGUUUAGAAAUGCGAGGGUAGCGUAGGGGAAUCUUACUAUACUUCUUACGCUCUUGGCGCUUAGAAGUGACGGAUGCCGCGUCGGAGCCGGAGGUGGAUGCCGAUGAAGAGUCGGUCUCGUAGUAGACCACCUUCCUCAUCCUCUUUUUCUUGUCCCCACUUCGAUGCGGCUUGUGGGAAGAGGAUUUCUCCUUCUUCUCUUUGUGGUGUGAAGAAGAUUUCUUCUCCUUCCCUUUGGAGGAGUCCUUCUUCUUCUCCUUCCUCUUGGUGCGGGACUCUUCCGAUGAAGUGCUCCCGUGGCUUGUAGUGGGCUUUUCGCCGGUCUCCAUCUCCUUCUUGGCGUGAUCUCCUGACAUCACUUCGAGCGGUUAGGCUCUAAUAAAGCACCGGGCUUUGAUACCAAUUGAUAGUCGCCUAGAGGGGGGGGGGUGAAUAGGGCGAAACUGAAAUUUACAAAUAUAAACACAACUACAAGUCGGGUUAGCGUUAGAAAUAUAAACGAGUCCGCAAGAGGGCGUAAAACAAAUCGCAAGCAAGUAAAGCGGUGAGACACAAGGAUUUGUUUUACCGAGGUUCGGUUCUUGCAAACCUACUCCCCGUUGAGGUGGUCACAAAGACCGGGUCUCUUUCAACCCUUUCCCUCUCUCAAACGAUCCCUCGGACCGAGUGAGCUUCUCUUCUCAAAUCAAAACCGGGAACAAAACUUCCCCGCAAGGGCCACCACACAAUUGGUGCCUCUUGCCUUGAUUACAAUAGAGUUUUGAUCACAAGAACAAGUGAGAAAGAAAAGAAGCAAUCCAAGCGCAAGAGCUCAAAAGAACACGGCAAAUCUCUCUCGCUAAUCACUAAAGUCGUGUGUGGAAUUGGAGAGGAUUUGAUCUCUUUGGUGUGUCUAGAAUUGAAUGCCUGGCUCUUGUAAGUGGUUGAGAAGUGGAAAACUUGGAUGCAAUGAAUGGUGGGUGGUUGGGGUUAUUUAUAGCCCCAACCACCAAACUAGCCGUUUGGUGUGGCUGACUGUCGAAUGGUGCACCGGACAGUCCAGUGCACACCGGACAUGUCCGGUGCGCCAGCCACGUCACCAAAACCGUUGGGUUCCGACCGUUGGAGCUCUGACUUCUGGGCCCGCCAGGAUGUCCGGUGGCGCACCGGACAUGUACUGUAGAGUGUCCGGUGCGCCAGUAUGGCCGUGCCUGACUUCUGCGCGCGCUGGCGCGCAUUUAAUGCGUCUGCAGGUAGCCGUUGGCGCCGAAGUAGCCGUUGCCCCGUUGUUACACCGGACAGUCCGGUGUACACCGGACAUGUCCGGUGAAUUAUAGCGGAGCAGCUGUUACGAAUUUCCGAUGCUGCCAAGUUCCAGAGCCGCGUCCUCUUGGAGCACCGGACACUGUCCGGUGUACACCGGACAUGUCCGGUGAAUUAUAGCGCGCCGGCUCUGAAAAUUCCCGAGGCUGAGGAGUUGAGCGCGAGGUCCCUUGGUGCACCGGACACUGUCCGGUGGCGCACCGGACAGUCCGGUGCCCCAGACCAGGGAGCCUCCCGGGAUGCCUUUAGCUCUCUCUUUUGAACCCAACAAUGGUCUUUUUAAUUGGCUUGUUGUGAACCUUUGGCACCUGUAUAACUUAUAUACUAGAGAAAACUAGUUAGUCCAAUUAUUUGUGUUGGGCAUUUCAACCACCAAAAUUAUUUAGGAACUAGGUGUAAGCCUAAUUCCCUUUCAAAAGGCGCAGCGCCUGCCCGGACCGAGGAUAGAUCAACACGCAGGAGCCCGAGGGUCUCGGCGUAGAUGAUGUUGAGGCUGCUGCCUCCGUCCAUGAGGACCUUGGUGAGCCUGACAUCGCCGAUGACGGGGUCAACAACGAGCGGGUAUUUCCCCGGGCUCGGCACGUGGUCGGGGUGGUCGGCUUGGUCGAAGGUGAUGGGCUUGUCGGACCAGUCUAAGUAGACUGGCGCCGCCACCUUACCGAACAGACCUCCCGACGCUCUUGCUUGCGGUGCCGAGCCGAGGCGUUCGCCGCUUGCCCACCGUAGAUCAUGAAGCAGUCGCGGACCUCGGGGAAUUCUCCUGCCUGGUGAUCCUCCUUCUUGUCGUCGUCGCGAGCCCUGCCACCCUCCACGGGUGGCCCAGCCCUGUGGAAGUGGCGCCGAAGCAUAGCGCACUCCUCAAGGGUGUGCUUGACGGGCCCCUGAUGAUAGGGGCACGGCUCCUUGAGCAUCCUGUCGAAGAGGUUGGCACCUCCGUGGGGUUUCCGAGGGUUCUUGUACUCGGCGGCGGCGACAAGGUCCGCGUCAGCGGCGUCGCGUUUCGCUUGCGACUUCUUCUUGCCCUUCUUCUUGGCGCCGCGCUGAGUCGACGCCUCGGGGGCGUCUUCCGGUGGGCGGCCCUGGGGCUGCUUGUCCUUCCGGAAGAUAGCCUCAACCGCCUCCUGGCCAGAGGCGAACUUGGUGGCGAUGUCCAUCAGCUCGCUCGCCCUAGUGGGGGUCUUUCGACCCAGCUUGCUGACCAGGUCGCGGCAAGUGGUGCCGGCGAGGAACGCGCCGAUGACAUCUGAAUCGGUGAUGUUGGGCAGCUCGGUGCGCUGUUUCGAGAAUCGCCGGAUGUAGUCCCGGAGAGACUCUCCCGGCUGCUGCCGGCAGCUUCGGAGGUCCCAGGAGUUUUCGGGGCGCACGUACGUGCCCUGGAAAUUGCCGGCGAAGGCUUGGACCAGGUCGUCCCAGUUGGAGAUCUGCCCCGGAGGCAGGUGUUCCAACUAGGCGCGAGCGGUGUCGGAGAGAAACAGGGGGAGGUUGCGGAUGAUGAGGUUGUCAUCGUCCGUUCCACCCAGUUGGCAGGCCAACCGGUAGUCUGCGAGCCACAGUUCCGGUCUCGUCUCCCCCGAGUACUUUGUGAUAGUAGUCGGGGGUCAGAACCGGGUCGGGAACGGCGCCCGUCGUAUGGCGCGACUGAAAGCCUACGGACCAGGUGGUUCGGGCGAGGGACUCUGAUCCUCCCCGCUGUCGUAGCGUCCCCCACACCUGGGGUGGUAGCCUCGGCGCACCCUCUCGUCGAGGUGGGCCCGACGGUUGUGGUGAUGGUGCUCGUUGCCGAGGCGACCCGGGGCCGCAGGCGCUGUGUUGCGCGUGCGCCCGGUGUAGACCGAGGCUUCCCGCAUGAAUCGGGAGGUCGCGACGCAAUGUUCCGAGGGGUACCCCUGCCUUCGGGAGGCGGAGCUCUCGGCCCGUCGGACCGCGGCGCCCUCCAGGAGAUUCUUGAGCUCUCCCUGGAUUCGCCGCCCCUCGGUGGUUGAUGGCUCUGGCAUUGCGCGGAGAAGCAUCGCUGCUGCAGCCAGGUUCUGGCCGACUCCACUGGAAGCGGGCAGCGGCCUUACCCUGACGUCGUCGGCGAUGCGGUGCUAGACACCCUGGGGUAGAUGGCGCACUUCUCCGGCCGGAGGUUGGCCCGCCCAUUCCUGCCCGACGUCCCGGCGGAUCGGCUCAAGUGCUCCUGCUCCCUCGUCGAGCCUGGCCGGCACCCCGCAGAUUUGCUCGAGCUGUGGGUCAUGACCCCCCGCCAGAAUGGGGACCACAUCUAGCUCCCGUAGGAUGUCAACGUGUGGCACAGGCCUAGGGAGAUCACCGUUCUCCGGCAUACCGAGAUGGUUGCCUUCGGAGGGACCCCCUAGAUCGACGUGGAAACAUUCACGACUUGGGCCGCAGUCCCCGUCGCCGAGGCUGCGGCUACCGUCGGAACAGUCGGAAAGGCAGUAGUCGCAUGCGGUCAUGAAGUCCCGUAUGGCACUGGGGUUACCAAGUCCGGAGAAAUCCCAACAGAAGUCAGGCCCGUCAUCUUCCUCGGACCCCGAGGGCCCGUUGGUCGAGACGUCCGCGAGCCGGUUCCAGGGUGACCGCAUACGAAACCCCAGAGGGUUUGGACUCGCCUCUACGAGAGCGUCCGUCAGAGCAAAGUCGCUUGGCGGGUCGAGGCUGAAUCCAAAGGGCGUGAGAUGGGAACCGGUGGGUACCUCCUGGUCGACGGGCGGUGACGAAGUCACGUCAGGGACUGACUACACUGUCGUCUCAGGUACGAGGGUGACGCCCAACAAGCCUUUCGCGAGCGUGCUGGCGUCGUCCGUUUGCUCGGAAUUGGCGUGUUGCGGGGAGACGGCGCUCGUCUUCGUCUCAAACGCGAGGUCGAUGCCCGACGCGCCCCCCGUUGGGGCGCCGACGCCGUCGACUUGCUCGACAGCCGACGAGGUGCCGCCUCUUGCUUGGCCUUGGUUGCCCCGCCUCCUCCUCCGUCGGCGGGGGAGAGGGCGGGGUGAGCUCGAAUGUCGUUCUUCCACCACGCGGGGAAGACGUCGUCGAUUCCGCCGCCGACGGGCGGGCUGUCGGCCGCCAUUGUUGCUGUCGCACGGCGGGGGAAGGAGUAUCAUGUUGUAGCUGCCGUCGAGGGACAUGAACUCAAGACUCCCGAAACGGAGCACCGUCCCGGGCUGGAAAGGUUGCUGGAGACUGCCCAUCUGGAGCUUGACGGGGAGCUGUUCAUCAACAUGUAGCAGGCCCCUACCUGGCGCGCCAACUGUCGGCGUUUCGAGACCGGGGGGUCCCUGGGCCGACGAGUGAAAUGUCGCCGCGUGCCCCAGCCCAGAUGGGUCGGCGCGAGACGGAGCGCGAAGGGGGGAAGAAAGGGCAGCCUGAGCGAGAGAGGGAGGUGGAAAUCCCGCGGCCUUCGUGUUUGUCCCGCGCCCAGGUCGGGUGCGCUUGCAGUAGGGGGGGGGGGUGGCCGCGCGGGGAAGAGGACGGGACAGGCGCUCGCGUGAGGCCGCUCGCUCCCUCUCCCGCGUGGACGCUUGUAACCCCCUACUGCAAGCGCACCCGACCUGGGCACGGGACAAACACGAAGGCCACGGGAUUUCCACCUCCCUCUCUCGCUCUGGCUGCCCUUUCUUCCCCCCUUCGCGCUCCGUCUCGCGCCGACCCAUCUGGGCUGGGGCACGCGGCGACAUUUCCCUCGUCGGCCCAGGGACCCCCCGGUCUCGAAACGCCGACACAAUUAGCGAUAAAAUGACCAAUCCUACCACAUUUGAAGCAUGAGCGCUUCCCCUUCGUCUUGGUCUUGUUGGGAUGCUCCUUGCGACCCCUUAGCGCCGUCUUGAAACGCUUAAUGAUGAGGGCCAUCUCUUCCUCAUUGAGUCCCGCCACCUCAACUUGUGCCACCUUGCUAGGUAGCACUUUCUUGCUCCUCGUUGCUUUGAGAGCAACAGUUUGAGGCUCGUGGAUUGGGCCGUUCAACGCAUCGUCAACGUAUCUUGCCUCCUUGAUCAUCAUCCGCCCGCUUACAAACUUUCCAAGUAUCUCCUCGGGCGUCAUCUUGGUGUACCUAGGAUUCUCACGAAUAUUGUUCACAAGAUGUGGAUCAAGGACAGUAAAAGACCUUAGCAUUAGGCGGACGAUGUCGUGGUCCAUCCAUCGCGUGCUUCCAUAGCUCCUUAUUUUGUUGACGAGGGUCUUGAGCCGGUUGUACGUUUGGGUUGGCUCCUCGCCCCUGAUCAUUGUGAAUCUCCCAAGUUCGCCCUCCACCAACUCCAUCUUGGUGAGCAUGGUGACGUUGUUCCCCUCAUGUGAGAUUUUGAGGGUGUCCCAAAUCUGCUUGGCGUUAUCUAAGCCGCUCACCUUAUGGUAUUCAUCCCUGCACAAUGAAGCUAGAAGAACAGUAGUAGCUUGUGCAUUUUUGUGAAUUUGCUCAUUAAUGAACAUGGGACUAUCCGUACUAUCAAAGUGCAUUCCAUUUUCUACUAUCUCCCAUAUACUUGGAUGGAGAGAGAACAAGUGGCUACGCAUUUUGUGACUCCAAAAUCUGUAGUCCUCUCCAUCAAAGUGAGGGGGUUUACCGAGGGGAAUAGAAAGCAAAUGAGCAUUGGAACUUUGCGAAAUACGAGAAUAAUCAAAGAAAAAGUUUGAAUUAACCGUCUUCUUUUUCUCGUAGUCGUUGUCGUUGUCCUUUUGGGAAGAGGAAGAUUCGUCGCUGUCGUAGUAGACUAUCUCCUUGAUGCGCCUUGUUUUCUUCUUCCUCCCGUCUUUUCUUUUGUGGCCCAAGCCUGAGUCAGUAGGCUUGUCAUCCUUUGGAUCAUUGACGAAGGACUCCUCCUUAUCAUUGACCACCAUCCCCUUGCCCUUAGGAUCCAUCUCUUCGGGCGAUUAGUCCCUUUCUUGAAGAGAACGGUUCUGAUACCAAUUGAGAGCACCUAGAGGGGGGGUGAAUAGGUGAUCCUGUAAAACUUGAACUUUAAUGCCACAAAACUUGAUUAGGAGUUAGCACAAUAAAGCCAAGUGGAUAGAGAAGAGUUCUUGCAAGACACAAUAACCACAAGAAGAUCAACACAGAUAGACACAGUGGUUUAUCCCGUGGUUUGGCCAAGUCCAACACUUGCCUACUCCACGUUGUGGCGUCCCAACGGACGAGGGUUGCAAUCAACCCCUCUCAAGCGGUCCAAAGACCCACUUGAAUAUCACGGUGUUUUGCUUUUUACUAUAUCCCGCUUGCGAGGAAUCUCCACAACUUGGAGCCUCUCGCCCUUACACUUUGAUGUUCACAAAGAAGCACGGAGUAAGGGAGGGAUGAGCAACGCACACAAGACACAAAAUCAGAGCGACAAUACGCGCACAAGUCACAACACGAGCUCUCAACACAACUCAAAGAGUUCUCUACUCAAAUGGAGCUCUAGUUGCUAUCACAAAGAAUCGAAUGUGCGGAAUUGAAGUCUUGGUGCUUAGGAAUGCUUAGAGAAUGAUUGGUGUCCUCCUCCAUGCGCCUAGGGGUCCCUUUUAUAGCCCCAAGGCAGCUAGGAGCCGUUGAGAGUAUUCCAGGAAGGCAAUUCUUGGCUUCUGUCGCCUGGCGCACCGGACACUGUCCGGUGCGGAUUUCUUUCCUUCUUUGGCGAAGCCGACCGUUGGAGUUUUGGAGCCGCUGGCGCACCGGACACUGUCCGGUGCACACCGGACAAUCUGGUGCCCCUUGUGACCGUUGGCUCUGCCACGCGUCGUGCGCGGAUUACGCGGUCGAUCGUUGGCCCGGCCGACUGUUGGCUCACCGGACAGUCCGGUGCACACCGGACAGUCCGGUGAAUUUUAGUCGUACGUCGCCGCCGAUUUCCCGAGAGCGGCCAGUUUGCCAGAGCCAGUCUGGCGCACCGGACACUGUCUGGUGCACCACCGGACAGUCCGGUGUACCCAGACCGAGCAGUCUUUUGGCUGAACACAGCCAACUUCUCCACAAUUUGUUUCUCCUGUUUCUAGCACAUAGUCACAAUACAUUAGUCUUCAAAACAAUGUACUAAGUCUAGAAACAUACCUUUAAUCUUGAUUUGCACUUCUUUGAGUCCUUUGCACAAUUUAACACUUAGGCACUUGUGUUGGACACUUAAUCACCAAAAUACUUAGAAAUGGCCCAAGGGCACAUUUCCCUUUCACUAGGCCACUGUUUUUUAUACUUCGGACUGGCACGACACGUUCCAAUUUUUUUUGGGUUUUCCUGUCCUGAACCUGUUUGACACGAAGCACGAUGGGCUUGUGUCGGGCCGGCCUAACCCGGCCCAAUUCCCAGCACUACUGGCAGUCGUCACGUUCUUGGAGGUCUCCUGUGUUGCUGAGCUUGGCAAUAGUGAUUCAGCGUUUAUCAUGGUGCGACGCGUGUCUCUAUUUGACGACUCUGCUCCGUCGGCACUCUCUUAUUAACAGGAGCGCAUAAAUCUUAUGUCGAGUUGGCGAUUUCCCAUCUCUCCUGCCAUUCACCCACAAAGAUCCCCUGUAUUGCGGGCGUUGGAUGGUGGCAAGUAGUGCCCGAAUGCGUUGUCGGGUGUUUCUGUUUGUUUGAAGGAAGAUCAUCAUUUUCUGUAUAUUGUGGUAGGCGUGCCUCCUGCCUCCUUUAGUUCCCUUUGUGUUUGCAGGACAGAUGGCGAGAAAGCAGCAUGGCGUGCAUAGUAAGAGGGGAGGUAUAGAUGUGCAAUGACAUAGGUGUGCCAAUGAGUAUGUUGUUCUUAGUGAACUCGCUAGUCAUCGUACGACAAUCGUCGUUUCGACUACCUGCGUUUGCUCUCUCUGUUCCCUCUUUGUUGCUGAAGUUCUUGCUGCGUUGUGCUGGUAGCUGUUUACAAUAUAUGGUCUGCCACAACAUUACGCAAGAGUUUGGUUCAUUUCAUACAAAACGUCGUUGAUGUGUGGCCUAGUCACACUAGAAUCAAUAAAAUUCAGGUGGUGAUUCUCUCCCAUGCGUUGACAAUAAUAAAAAUAAAUGAGACGUUUUACGAGAGACUGAUGCAAUUAAGCAUUAUUAUUGUAGGGGCACGAAAUUAAAAGGUAUUUUGAAUUUUGUGGCCCCUAAUAAUUUGAUGCCCCUAAUUCAAUAACAACAAUCAAUUAAAUUCUAUAAUCAAGGGACUUUUAAUUUCGUGCCUCUAAUUUAGCAACAAUGUGUUUUGUACCUCUUUAUUUGUAAAAACUUCCCAUUUUCGAGUAAAAAGAUCUCAUCCAAUUUCAAUCAGGGUAUAGGCCCAAACCAAUCUUUUUCCGCUCCAGUCCUUUAAAAGCUUUACGGGCCGAAGUCAUGAAUUGUUGGAAUCCUAAACUGUUACACUUACAGCAAACUAGUGGGCAGGUCGGCUUCGACCGACGAAACGUCCAGCCCAGGAGCCCAACGUGCCCACCCCAAUAUAUUUAUCGCGCCUCCCGGUUCCACUAUAUAAUCGUCACCGCCCACCAGUGGUGUCCAUUCACGCACCUAGGGUUUUCGCGCCGCCGCCGCCGCCGCCGCCGCAGCCGCAACAAUGGUAACUUCCUAGCCGUCGCCCUAGUUCUCGUUUUCCAUGGAGUUGGCCUGUGCCGCCUUGGUUUCAGUGUUUCUCUGACUUGGUUGAUGGCGUACUUCGUUGUUUGCGCAGCCGUCGCACAAGACCUUCCGGAUCAAGAAGAAGCUGGCGAAGAAGAUGCGCCAGAACCGCCCCAUCCCCUACUGGAUCCGCAUGCGCACUGACAAUACCAUCAGGUGACGGCCGCGCUAACUCCUGCUCGUCUGGUCUGGAUUCGGCCGUCGCUGACCCCGCCGCUCCAUUCCGUGCCGUUUCAGGUAC
rnacentral:lncRNA from 1 species